GGAUCAAUAUGUUGGUCGUGCCUUGGUACGUACUAAUUUAUUGGUUUCUUCCUUCUGACGAACCAUGAUGUCAUUAAUUUGGUAUCUUGGGGAAUCAGGACUGUUACCUUGAAAAAGUUAGAGUGUUUAAAGCAGGCUCACGCUUGAAUACAUUAGCAUGGAAUAAUGAAAUAGGACGUUUGAUUCUAUUUUAUUGGUUCCUAGGAUCGACGUA
rnacentral:rRNA from 1 species